rnacentral:rRNA from 1 species
GUUCGGAUUGUAGUCUGCAACUCGACUACAUGAAGCUGGAAUCGCUAGUAAUCGCGAAUCAGAAUGUCGCGGUGAAUACGUUCCCGGGUCUUGUACACACCGCCCGUCACACCAUGGGAGUCAGUAACGCCCGAAGUCAGUGACCCAACCGAUCUGGAGGGAGCUGCCGAAGGUGGGACCGAUAACUGGGGUGAAGUCGUAACAAGGUACC